rnacentral:tmRNA from 1 species
GGGGCCGUACUGGUUUCGACGGGGGUAGUGAGGCUGGAAUAGCGUGCCGUGGCGCCUGACCACGCCAAAACGGGUAACUUUUAAAUUUAACUGACCACAAUACUGGUGCAUUCGCUGCCUAAUUAGGCGCGCAUCCGCCCCGGAAGGUCCACGAGCCGGGCUCGGGUGUGAUCUGAGUGGAGACCGUGCGUGCGCAAAGCUUUGAGCGCACCAUGCAUCAUGAAGCUACUGAUGACCGUAGGGUGUUUGUUCCCGCCGGUCUGAGGGAAUGUAAAUAACAAACUGCGCACGGAGAAGUUCCUUCCAAGUUGCUUUCGGACAGGGGUUCGAUUCCCCUCGGCUCCACCA